rnacentral:rRNA from 1 species
GGAAUUGACGGGACCCGCACAAGCGGUGGAUGAUGUGGUUUAAUUCGAUGCAACGCGAAAACCUUACCCACCUUUGACAUGUACGGAAUUUGCCAGAGAUGGCUUAGUGCUCGAAAGAGAGCCGUAACACAGGUGCUGCAUGGCUGUCGUCAGCUCGUGUCGUGAGAUGUUGGGUUAAGUCCCGCAACGAGCGCAACCCUUGUCAUUAGUUGCUACGAAAGGGCACCCUAAUGAGACUGCCGGUGACAAACCGGAGGAAGGUGGGGAUGACGUCAAGUCCUCAUGGCCCUUAUAGGUGGGGCUACACACGUCAUACAAUGGCCGGUACAAAGGGUCGCAAACCCGCGAGGGGGAGCCAAUCCAUCAAAGCCGGUCGUAGUCCGGAUCGCAGUCUGCAACUCGACUGCGUGAAGUCGGAAUCGCUAGUAAUCGUGGAUCAGCAUGUCACGGUGAAUACGUUCCCGGGUCUU